rnacentral:tRNA from 1 species
GGAUGUAUAGCUCAGUGGUAGAGCAAUCGGCUGCAGAUCGAGACGUCACCGGUUCAAACCCGGGUGUCCU